UCAAAAACAAAAGAAGAAGAGUUUGAACUCUCUUGGAAAAUGAGUAGGACAAACUUGUGUUGCUAGCUAGGCUGUUUGCACUGAUCCGUGGAGGUGUUGUCGUCGUCUCUGUCUGGAUUAAGGAUCACUGCCUUAAAGUAAGGAGAAGAGAGGAAGGUCCCUUCAUAACGGAGCUAAGGAAUGGCCACUAGCGCAACACUGCACUGGGACCAAGCUUCCUACAUAGGAAAUUUAUGUGGAUACAUACAAACCACAUGCAAACAGCAGACUCGAUCAGGU
rnacentral:lncRNA from 1 species